rnacentral:lncRNA from 1 species
CAUGCAAGACAGCAAGAGGCUAGCACCUAGCAAUGGCGAAUAUCAUAUUGUCGUCUGGUCGAGAUGCCUUCAAGUACGAACACACCCACCUCACGGAGUCAUAGCUGAUCCCUAAUCAAGGAGUAUAAAAAAAUUCUGUAUUGCUAGCGUCCAAAAGUACCCAGAUCCUCCAGAUUCAGUGCAUAUGCGAGAGUGCUCGUGCCUUCCAUUCAGAUAUCUAUCCUAUGCAAAUCAAGCAGUUCUAUUUGAAGUGUGACAACUCACAAGGAGAUCGCACUAUUUUGCCCAGAUGACGACAGAUAACCAUAUUUGCCGGUGCCGGAAAUGAGUUAUCAGCUUAUCGGUUUUGUCCAGUCAACUGCAGUU